AAGCGCGAGACUUCGUCGGGUUCGGAUCGGGGGUUCAUCGGAUGUAGAAAACGUCGGGUUCGUUUGAAUGAGAUGGAAAAUUAAUUUCUCCCUAACUACAAAACUUUUCGAAAAUUAUCGUGAAUUGUUUACGCGUGCGCAAUGAAAUUUAUUAUAACGCAUGUGUUACCUUAUACGAGUGUUCCUUUUCUUAUCUCGUUUUAUUUCCUUUCACCCUCUCGUAAGGUAAAAGACUUUCGUUCGGUGUCGGUGUGCACAACUUAUCUAUUUUAUAUCGCUGUAAAGUGAAGCUGCAACGUAAAACCGUAAACCGCAGUCAAACUGCAUUGCUGUUACCCUAAUUUUUCUCUACCUUUUUUUACAUCUUCCCUCAUUUGUGUGCGCGAAUGAUUCCGUAUGCGUCAGUGUACGUACGUGCAAAAAUAAAGAAACCAAAAAAAAAAAAAAACAAAGUAGUUGAGUUAGUGCAAAGAGAUAACUCGUUGAAAUAUAAAUUGCAUCGAAUUUCUAUAUGAUCGGAAUUUGACAUUUUUUUCCCCUCGUAAAAGGAACAACGUUUUGAAUCUUUUUUCUUUUCUUUUUUUUUAGUUUCAACGUGAUUUUACGAUCUAUAGUUGUGGUUUCGUUUAACGAUCGAAUGGAAGAUGAUGAUCGUCGUCGUCGAUGAAAGAGGGAAAAAGAUAUCUAUCAAUCUCUUUCACCUCUCUCGUUUUAAGAUUUAUUGGAUAUACUUAAUUAAUUAUCGUCUGGUGCAACGUUGUAUGAAAUAAGUGUUAAACGUUCGUCGAAUCAUUAGAUCGGGCUGUUAAUUAUUAUUUAUUAUUAUUGAUUUAAUAACGUGAAAUAAUUAUAUUAUUGAGAAACAGAAUAAAAUAAAUCAUUGUGGCAUACGCGAAUAUUUUAUUUCGUACUUCCCCCGACAGGACGGGGGGGUACACGAAAAAUAACAUUUCCAAAGAAGUUUUUAACACUGAACGGAUGUCUCACACGAUGAAUGAACCGGAUCCUUGUCUGCCACUCAUCCUGCCACCCAGAUAUCGUCUUCGCGAUCUCAUACUGGGUGAUUAUGCUUUCAACGACGACGGUGAACGAAAUGUCGAUGUACUUCUUUCGGCUGCACAACCUGCGCCGUCAGGCGGAGGAGGUACGAAAGAAGCGAUUAAAACGCGG
rnacentral:misc_RNA from 1 species